rnacentral:rRNA from 1 species
AUGCCGCUGCCGCUGCACCCCUGCUGCGCCGCCGUCGUCGCGGCGACGCCCGCCAUGGCCACCACCGCCGGCAGCGGCGGCACCAUCUCGCCGUCCACUGCCGCCGCCCCGCCGCCCCGGUACCUCGGCUCCGGCCAGGGCCGGCUCCGCCUCGCGCCGGCAGCCAGCCGGCGUAACAGGCCGCUCCUCCGCUGCUCCGCGUCCGGCGGCGACGGGCCCGACAAGGUUCUUGAGAAGCGCCGGGCCGAGCUCGCCGCCCGCAUUUCCUCCGGCGAGUUCACCGCCCAGGGCCCCGGAUGGCUCGCGCCCGUCGCGGCAAGGCUCGCCAAGCUCGGCCCGCCGGGGGAGCUCGCGGCCGGGCUGCUCACCAAGGUAGCGGGCGGCGCGGCGCGCAGGGGCCCGGGGCUGCCGCAGGCGGUCGGGUCGCUGGCUUCCGUCGCCGGGGAGGCCUUCUUCCUGCCGCUCUACGACCUCUUCCUCACCUACGGCGGCGUCUUCCGCCUCAACUUUGGGCCCAAGUCUUUCCUCAUCGUCUCUGAUCCGGAUGUAGCUAAGCAUAUCCUGAGGGACAACUCCAAGGCUUAUUCCAAGGGUAUCCUUGCGGAGAUACUGGAGUUUGUGAUGGGCACAGGUCUGAUCCCAGCUGAUGGGGAGGUCUGGCGUGUUCGACGGCGUGCCAUUGUACCAGCAUUGCAUCAGAAGUACGUGACAGCGAUGAUAGGUCUCUUCGGAAACGCUUCAGGCCGGCUCUGCCAGAAGCUGGACAAGGCGGCUUCGGACGGGGAAGAUGUGGAGAUGGAAUCUCUCUUCUCUCGACUAACGCUGGAUGUCAUCGGGAAGGCAGUGUUCAAUUAUGAUUUUGAUUCAUUAUCCUACGAUAAUGGAAUAGUUGAGGCUGUGUAUGUAACAUUACGGGAAGCAGAAAUGCGGAGUACAUCUCCUAUCCCAACUUGGGAAAUACCCAUAUGGAAAGACAUCUCCCCUCGGCAAAGGAAGGUCAAUGAAGCUCUCGCACUGAUAAAUAAUAUUCUCGAUGAACUAAUUGCUACUUGCAAGAGGAUGGUAGAUGAAGAAGAUCUGCAGUUUCAUGAGGAAUACAUGAAUGAGAAAGAUCCUAGUAUUCUUCACUUCCUAUUGGCAUCUGGAGAUGAUGUGUCCAGCAAGCAGCUCCGUGACGAUCUGAUGACAAUGCUCAUAGCUGGCCAUGAGACCUCUGCAGCAGUCUUGACUUGGACAUUUUAUCUUCUGUCUAAGUAUCCGAAUGUAAUGUCCAAGCUCCAAGCUGAGGCUGAUGCUGUUCUAGGAGAUGGUUUACCAACAAUUGAUGAUGUGAAGAAACUUAAGUAUACUACUCGAGUUAUUAAUGAAUCUUUGAGAUUAUAUCCACAGCCGCCAGUUUUGAUUCGCCGUUCCCUUGAGGAUGAUAUGCUAGGGGAGUACCCAAUCGGCAAGGGAGAAGACAUUUUUAUAUCCAUCUGGAACCUUCAUCGCUGCCCAAAGCAUUGGGAUGACGCGGAUGUUUUCAAUCCAGAAAGGUGGCCUUUGGACGGACCGAACCCAAAUGAGACAAACCAAAAAUUCAGUUACUUGCCAUUUGGUGGCGGACCAAGGAAAUGUGUAGGUGAUAUGUUUGCUACUUUUGAGACUGUGGUGGCAACAGCAAUGCUUGUCAAGCGAUUUGAUUUUCAGAUGGCUCCAGGAGCACCUCCGGUCGAGAUGACAACCGGAGCAACGAUUCACACAACUAAGGGACUGAACAUGACUGUUACUCGGAGGAUAAAGCCACCUGUAAUUCCAAACUUAGAGAUGAAAAUUGUUUCCGAUUCAGAAGGAAGCACAAGUUCUACUGCGUCAGUGGCUGUUUCUACUGCUAGUAUUACAUCCGGAGAAGGUCAACAAGUAGAGGUGUCGACAAGUCAAGUGUGA